GCUCUCGUAGCUCAGCUGGAUAGAGCGUCUCCCUCCUAAGGAGAAGGUCGCAUGUUCGAAUCAUGUCGGGGGCA
rnacentral:tRNA from 1 species